GAUACGGCCCAGACUCCUACGGGAGGCAGCAGUGGGGAAUAUUGCACAAUGGGCGGAAGCCUGAUGCAGCAACGCCGCGUGCGGGAUGACGGCCUUCGGGUUGUAAACCGCUUUCACCCAUGACGAAGCGCGAGUGACGGUAGUGGGGGAAGAAGCGCCGGCCAACUACGUGCCAGCAGCCGCGGUGAUACGUAGGGUGCGAGCGUUGUCCGGAAUUAUUGGGCGUAAAGAGCUUGUAGGCGGUUGAUCGCGUCGAUAGUGAAAUCCCGGGGCUCAACCUCGGGCUUGCUGUCGAUACGGGUUGACUUGAGGAAGGUAGGGGAGAAUGGAACUCCCGGUGGAGCGGUGGAAUGCGCAGAUAUCGGGAAGAACACCGGUGGCGAAGGCGGUUCUCUGGACCUUUCCUGACGCUGAGAAGCGAAAGCGUGGGGAGCAAACAGGCUUAGAUACCCUGGUAGUCCACGCUGUAAACGGUGGGUACUAGGUGUGGGUCGCAUUCCACGUGAUCCGUGCCGUAGCCAACGCAUUAAGUACCCCGCCUGGGGAGUACGGCCGCAAGGCUAAAACUCAAAGGAAUUGACGGGGCCCCGCACAAGCGGCGGAGCAUGCGGAUUAAUUCGAUGCAACGCGAAGAACCUUACCUGGGUUUGACAUGUACUGGAAGCGCUCAGAGAUGGGCGUGCCUUUUCGGCCGGUUCACAGGUGGUGCAUGGCUGUCGUCAGCUCGUGUCGUGAGAUGUUGGGUUAAGUCCCGCAACGAGCGCAACCCUCGUCCAAUGUUGCCAGCAGUUCGGCUGGGGACUCGUUGGAGACCGCCGGGGUCAACUCGGAGGAAGGUGGGGAUGAGGUCAAGUCAUCAUGCCCCUCAUGUCCAGGGCUUCACGCAUGCUACAAUGGCCGGUACAAAGAGUUGCGAGCCUGUGAGGGUGAGCGAAUCUCGGAAAGCCGGUCUCAGUUCGGAUUGGGGUCUGCAACUCGACCCCAUGAAGUCGGAGUCGCUAGUAAUCGCAGAUCAGCAACGCUGCGGUGAAUACGUUCCCGGGGCUUGUACACACCGCCCGUCAAGUCAUGAAAGUCGGUAACACCCGAAGCCGGUGGCCUGUCCCUUGUGGGGGGAGCCGUCGAAGGUGGGACUGGUGAUUAGGACUAAGUCGUAACAAGGUAGCCGUACCGGAAGGUGCGGCUG
rnacentral:rRNA from 1 species